rnacentral:pre_miRNA from 1 species
AAGGAGCUCACAGUCUAUUGAGUUACUUUUAAGACUUUCCCACUAGAUUGGGAGCUCCUGGA